GUGAGAGGGCAUGGCUCCAGGUCGCUUUUUCCAGGAGAGGGUCAAAGGCGGGGCUUCCACGUUUGGGGCGAGGCCUGUGGCAUGGCGUAGGAAAGCGGGUCUGAGAGGGAGCCAGAAUUGAGGACAGGCUGAACCAAGACUGAAAGUGACGAUGGGAAGAAGAUGCAGGCCAAAGACUGAGACUCUCUAAGGCUUUGAGAAAAAUGUGGGAAGGAUGUUCUGGAAGCAGGCAGAACCAAGAUGAGGGUCCAUGGGGUCCGCCCAAGACAGUCGGAGGCAAAGUGCUGAGAACAAGAAAGAUGCCUGGGUAGAUAAUGGGUGCGGCGUAAGAGGAGAGAUCUUAAAGUAUGAUUGGCAGGCGGAGCUGAUCCGUGAGGACAUCCAAGGGGCUCUGCAGAACUACCGCUCCGGACGUGGGGAACGCAGGGCGGCAGCACUCAGGUGAGGAGAAGAGGGAAACAGAUGAAGAGCGCUCUGG
rnacentral:lncRNA from 1 species